rnacentral:snoRNA from 1 species
AUCCCAUGAUGAGGACACUUACAAAGCAAUUCCUUGAAUCUUUUCAUACCUCGUAUAAGGACUCAUCAUCCAAUUGUUGGGAAGUGGUUAUCUCAUUUUGCAACU